AGAGUUUGAUCAUGGCUCAGAUUGAACGCUGGCGGCAGGCCUAACACAUGCAAGUCGAGCGGUAGCACAGAGAGCUUGCUCUCGGGUGACGAGCGGCGGACGGGUGAGUAAUGUCUGGGAAACUGCCUGAUGGAGGGGGAUAACUACUGGAAACGGUAGCUAAUACCGCAUAACGUCGCAAGACCAAAGUGGGGGACCUUCGGGCCUCAUGCCAUCAGAUGUGCCCAGAUGGGAUUAGCUAGUAGGUGGGGUAACGGCUCACCUAGGCGACGAUCCCUAGCUGGUCUGAGAGGAUGACCAGCCACACUGGAACUGAGACACGGUCCAGACUCCUACGGGAGGCAGCAGUGGGGAAUAUUGCACAAUGGGCGCAAGCCUGAUGCAGCCAUGCCGCGUGUGUGAAGAAGGCCUUCGGGUUGUAAAGCACUUUCAGCGGGGAGGAAGGCGAUAAGGUUAAUAACCUUGUCGAUUGACGUUACCCGCAGAAGAAGCACCGGCUAACUCCGUGCCAGCAGCCGCGGUAAUACGGAGGGUGCAAGCGUUAAUCGGAAUUACUGGGCGUAAAGCGCACGCAGGCGGUCUGUCAAGUCGGAUGUGAAAUCCCCGGGCUCAACCUGGGAACUGCAUUCGAAACUGGCAGGCUAGAGUCUUGUAGAGGGGGGUAGAAUUCCAGGUGUAGCGGUGAAAUGCGUAGAGAUCUGGAGGAAUACCGGUGGCGAAGGCGGCCCCCUGGACAAAGACUGACGCUCAGGUGCGAAAGCGUGGGGAGCAAACAGGAUUAGAUACCCUGGUAGUCCACGCUGUAAACGAUGUCGAUUUGGAGGUUGUGCCCUUGAGGCGUGGCUUCCGGAGCUAACGCGUUAAAUCGACCGCCUGGGGAGUACGGCCGCAAGGUUAAAACUCAAAUGAAUUGACGGGGGCCCGCACAAGCGGUGGAGCAUGUGGUUUAAUUCGAUGCAACGCGAAGAACCUUACCUGGUCUUGACAUCCACAGAACUUUCCAGAGAUGGAUUGGUGCCUUCGGGAACUGUGAGACAGGUGCUGCAUGGCUGUCGUCAGCUCGUGUUGUGAAAUGUUGGGUUAAGUCCCGCAACGAGCGCAACCCUUAUCCUUUGUUGCCAGCGGUUCGGCCGGGAACUCAAAGGAGACUGCCAGUGAUAAACUGGAGGAAGGUGGGGAUGACGUCAAGUCAUCAUGGCCCUUACGACCAGGGCUACACACGUGCUACAAUGGCAUAUACAAAGAGAAGCGACCUCGCGAGAGCAAGCGGACCUCAUAAAGUAUGUCGUAGUCCGGAUUGGAGUCUGCAACUCGACUCCAUGAAGUCGGAAUCGCUAGUAAUCGUAGAUCAGAAUGCUACGGUGAAUACGUUCCCGGGCCUUGUACACACCGCCCGUCACACCAUGGGAGUGGGUUGCAAAAGAAGUAGGUAGCUUAACCUUCGGGAGGGCGCUUACCACUUUGUGAUUCAUGACUGGGGUGAAGUCGUAACAAGGUAACCGUAGGGGAACCUGCGGUUG
rnacentral:rRNA from 1 species